rnacentral:lncRNA from 1 species
UCUCAUUUCAUCCGUCAAGUUAUUGAGCUUCAAAUAGUUCUAUAGAUUGACCAUGGCUUGAUUAAUGAAGUCCAUCAAUUCAUUCAUUGCUUCACUCACAUCAUCGUUGAUGUCUGUUGGCUCGACCCAAGAGACAACAUUUUGGACAAAUACCACACUGGAGUUGUACUUCACAUUUGGUGCAACUUCAUGGCGUAUUUGUUCCAAAAAAACUUGGCCCUUGGAUGCAAGCAAACAACUCAGGAGAACAAUGAAGAGGG